UACGAGUGCCCCAAGCGUUAUCCGGAAUUAUUGGGCGUAAAGGGUGUGUAGGUGGUCAUAUUAGUCUUCUGUUAAAGCUCUCGGCUCAACCGGGAACAUGCAGAGGAAACGGUACGACUAGAGGACGUAAGAGGUAUGCGGAACUCAUGGUGUAGGGGUGAAAUCCGUUGAUAUCAUGGGGAACACCAAAAGCGAAGGCAGCAUACUGGUGCGUUCCUGACACUGAGACACGAAAGCGUGGGUAGCGAAUGGG
rnacentral:rRNA from 1 species